AUGAGGCAGCCAAAGUAUUGGAGUUUCAGCUUCGGCAUCAGUCCUUCCAAUGAAUAUUCAGGACUGAUUUCCUUUAGGAUGGACUGGUUGGAUUUCCUUGGGGAAGAACUGCGCCUUGAAAACACAAUUCCUGUCACCUGGGUCCCCAGGCUGCCCCGCUCCUGCCCUUUCCAAGGCUGGGAAAGGCCAUCAGGCUUUUCUCUUCAUCUGUGAACUGCCUGCAUCCUUCUGAUAAACUACCUUCUUUGGCCCAAGUAAGCCAAGCGUUUUUCCUUAGCUUGCCAUGACUUACCAGGUGGAUAUGAGGCCUGUGCCUGCCUUACCUGGCCCUGGGCAUGCAGCCCCACCCCUCUCCUGGAGGAGCUCCUUGUCAGGAGGGGAGCCUCAGCUGAGCCCCUCAAUGACCAUCAUCCUCACAAGCUGGGAUGGGAGCAGUGGAGGCUGAGGGAGAAUGAAAAGGUCCUUCAUUUGCAGUGAUGGGACUCAGAUCUAUAAAUAGUCAUCAGAAAUAAAGCAGAGAAAGAGAGAAGUCAUUUGUGGGCUCGCAUUUAAUUCAAAGGUGUUCUUUUUCUUCCUCUGAAAUAAGCUAUGUGAUUCUUUUCAAACGGAAGAAACCGAAAACCAUCUUGAAUUACCAAAGAAGCUCUUCAGCCCCCUCGAGGCCUCUCGGGCUGGAAGUAAGGCAAGAGAGCAGUCCCCCUCUGGUGAUGGCUGGAGCUGUGGCAGCCUUGUAUUUCCUGAGGCUGGAGGUUGUUGGGCCUCCUCCUCACCCCAGAGGAGCAAUUGGAGAUUUGUUCCCUAUGGAUUAAUACUUCGAGAUGAGAAUAGCAGAAAAAUCGGGAGAGGAGUCUGGGCCCUGCUCUGAUAGAAGAUAAGAGACCACGUACUUCUCAUUCUCAAAGUCAGAAGACCUCCCUGACUACACAUGUGGAGAAAUGAAUGUUCCCUGAUGGUCAAAAGGCAAGUGAUGAUGACUACCCAUAGGCCUCUUCAGAAGAAUCCAUGUUGCCUAAGAGAUGCACGUACACACACGGGAAGAUCCUGAGAUAUUCCAAAUAUGGACUCUGAACCAGGCAAAUCAAAAUAAUUGGCCAAAGGAAACCCCAAAGAAAGUGAUUUAAACCUCCAUGAGGGCCCAGCUCUCUCUGAGUCUGCCUGUAUGUCUAUCCAGAGGUGCUGUACUCUUUUUUAUCCUAAUAAAUACUUUGUUUCACUCCUUUU